rnacentral:rRNA from 1 species
CUGUAAGCCGUUGAAGGUGGUCUGUAAGGGCUGCUGGAGGUAUCAGAAGUGCGAAUGCUGACAUGAGUAACGAUAAAGGGAGUGAAAAACUCCCUCGCCGGAAGACCAAGGGUUCCUGUCCAACGUUAAUCGGGGCAGGGUAAGUCGACUCCUAAGGCGAGGCCGAAAGGCGUAGUCGAUGGGAAACGGGUUAAUAUUCCCGUACUUCUUACAAUUGCGAUGGGGGGACGGAGAAGGCUAGGUGGGCCUGGCGACGGUUGUCCAGGUUCAAGUAYGUAGGCGGAAAGUUUAGGUAAAUCCGGACUUUCAUUAACGCUGAGAUACGAUGUCGAGCUACUACGGUAGUGAAGUCAUUGAUGCCAUGCUUCCAGGAAAAGCCUCUAAGCUUCAGAUUGUAAGGAAUCGUACCCCAAACCGACACAGGUGGUCGGGUAGAGAAUACCAAGGCGCUUGAGAGAACUCGGGUGAAGGAACUAGGCAAAAUGGUACCGUAACUUCGGGAGAAGGUACGCUCUUAUCAGUGAAGUCCCUUGCGGAUGGAGCAGACGAGAGUCGCAGAUACCAGGUGGCUGCAACUGUUUAUUAAAAACACAGCACUGUGCA